UUGAUGCACAUAACUGGAGCGUGUUCUUUGACGUAAUUUUGCGGCAAAUCAGACUCAAUUUUAAGUGUAUUUACGUUUUUCGCUUGACCGUGUACUGUCCAGAGAGUUAUCUACGUGCGCAUGUAUUGCGUAUACGUACACGAGAAAGAUUGAGGUUAAAUUUUGUACCGCCAGCAAAACAAAUGGUGCGCUAGUGUGUGUGAGGUCGGGCUUAGAUAACUCUAGUGAGAAGGCGGCCAUGUUUGAAUCCACAAAGAAAGAUGCGUUUGAACGAAAAGGUUUAGUUUCGCGAAACUUGUCCAGAAAAGUAGAAAUCUUUUGCCAAAUAUUGGUAGAGCAUUGAAAAGUACCUACUACAUAAAGAUGUUGGAGCUUUCAUUAUCAAGAUUAUUCUGCCACCCGAUCCUGGACCGCAACUCUAGGUUCCUGCAGGCCAUGGCUAUGGCCAUUCCCGUUCUCAUUUCGGAAAGACAACGGAGUUCUUGGCCCCAUAGAAGGGGAUUUUGACGAAGUUCCGGAGCAACGUUCCGGUGACCAGAGGCAGAUUCUCCCCGUCUUUUCCGGAAUACCUCGUUGUGGAAUCGAUUCCUGCUUUAUUUUUAACAAGCAAGCUUCUCGCCUGGCCCCAGCCGAAACAGUUUCAAACAAGGUUGGGUUGAUUCGAUUGUCGUCAACUGACCAGAUCCGGAGUGAAGAUUGUCCACACAGAUCUUCUAGUGGAAGGGGAACGGAUUCGUGCCCCGUGACAGUUUCGAGCAGUUUGAGGCCGCCAGCUGAUGAACGGGUCGGAGGACGGGCCGGAACAUGGACGGAUUAAUUUGGCGAAAAUAGUGCUUUUGAAUGAAUCAGAAAAAGUGAUGUAUGUUAUUGUCAGUUCUAGUGCAUGUUUUAUGAAAACGAUAGCGUAAUAUGUUAUGAGC